GCUGGGCGCGGUGGCUCAUGCCUGUAAUCCCAGCACUUUGGGAGGCUGAGGCGGGAGGAUCACCUGAGGUCAGGAGUUUGAGACCAGCCUGGCCAACAUGGUGAAACCCUGUCUCUU
rfam:Pan troglodytes isolate Yerkes chimp pedigree #C0471 (Clint) chromosome 7, whole genome shotgun sequence.